AAGGUAAAAGAAUAGCAAAGAAACAGCACUAACAAAGUUUAGACACAUAAAUUUUGAAGGUCUAGCUACCAUAUUAUUACCCAUAAGGGUAAAGGCACAGUACCACUGCUGGAUAAUUGGAAAGUCCCUGUGUGUCAACCUCCGUGCUUCGUGGCAAGGUAGACUAGCAAACAUGCCCAACCUUUACUCACAUCCGAGAAAAUACUCCCAACAAGAUUGCUUACUCCAAAAUCGAAGAGGC
rnacentral:lncRNA from 1 species